CUAAGAUAUCGACAUCACCACUAUUAUUAUUAUAAUAUCCAUUCGUAUGUCCAUUGAUUGAGACACUUCAAGUCAAGCAAGUUUCGAGGAAGCUAUUUAAGCUCAAAUCAGUUCUGAUUAAACCAUUAGUUUUGAUUGUCAUCAGUAAUCAAUUUAAAUAACUGAUUUACUUUGUUAAUUAAAGUUGGUAAAAAUUUUUCUCCGUUUUUAAAUAAAGUCUCAAUUUUGACCAUGGCAAAAGUUUUCAAUCCAACCUUUAUCCUCGCAGUGAUUGUUUUGCUUGCAACGAUGAACUUUGGUUACUUUGUAUCAGCUGUUCUAGAAGACACUUGGACCUCCAUAAGUUCAGAUGGAUCGACUACCUGCAAAUACACCUACAUUUAUGAUAACGAUGGCUAUUUAGUUGGUCCUGA